rnacentral:rRNA from 1 species
GAUGAACGCUGGCGGAGGGUUGAAUACAUGCAAGUCGAGCGAACGGACGAGAAGCUUGCUUCUCUGAUGUUAGCGGCGGACGGGUGAGUAACACGUGGAUAACCUACCUAUAAGACUGGGAUAACUUCGGGAAACCGGAGCUAAUACCGGAUGAUAUUUUGAACCGCAUGGUUCAAAAGUGAAAGACGGUCUUGCUGUCACUUAUAGAUGGAUCCGCGCUGCAUUAGCUAGUUGGUAAGGUAACGGCUUACCAAGGCAACGAUGCAUAGCCGACCUGAGAGGGUGAUCGGCCACACUGGAACUGAGACACGGUCCAGACUCCUACGGGAGGCAGCAGUAGGGAAUCUUCCGCAAUGGGCGAAAGCCUGACGGAGCAACGCCGCGUGAGUGAUGAAGGUCUUCGGAUCGUAAAACUCUGUUAUUAGGGAAGAACAUAUGUGUAAGUAACUGUGCACAUCUUGACGGUACCUAAUCAGAAAGCCACGGCUAACUACGUG